rnacentral:rRNA from 1 species
CCCUUAGAUGUCCUGGGCUGCACGCGCGCUACACUGGAAGUUACGGAUUGGGAUACUACCUUGUCCGAAAUGGUCCGGGUAAUCACCUAAAAGCUUGUCAUAAUUGGAAUGGAUUAUUGUAACUAGUAAUCCUGAACGAGGAAUUCCUAGUAAGUCCCAGUCAACAGCUGGUACUGAUUACGUCCCUGCCCUUUGUACACACCGCCCGUCGCUACUACUGAUUGGACGUUUAAGCAAGAUUUUUAAACACUGACAGUGUGUAGUUCACGCUAUACUACAGUGAGAAGAAGAAGAUCGAGCUUACUUGUCUAGAGGAAGUAAAAGUCGUAACA